GGGGAAUUUUGCGCAAUGGGGGAAACCCUGACGCAGUGACGCCGCGUGAACGAUGAAGUCCUUCGGGAUGUAAAGUUCUGUCAGGCGGGAAGAAACCUCCCCCCGAUGCAAAUCGGGGGGAAAUGACGGUACCGCCAGAGGAAGCACUGGCUAAUUCCGUGCCAGCAGCCGCGGUAAGACGGAGAGUGCAAGCGUUGUUCGGAAUUACUAGGCGUAAAGCGCGUGUAGGUGGUUAGUUAAGUCGGAUGUGAAAAUUCCAAGCUUAACUUGGAACUGGCAUUCGAAACUGGUUAACUUGAGUGUAGGAGAGGAGAGCGGAAUUCCUAGUGUAGCGGUGAAAUGCGUAGAUAUUAGGAAGAACACCGGUGGCGAAGGCGGCUCUCUGGCCUAAAACUGACACUGAGACGCGAAAGCGUGGGUAGCAAACAG
rnacentral:rRNA from 1 species